UGUACAAGUCUUUAUUAUUCUGAAACGCACAGCACAGACAUCUCAGCUUCUCUGAGUAACCAGUUCCUGUCGCCAUUCGGUUGGGAUAAGAGAUGCUCCAUACUUGUGUCAUGGAAGGAAAUGACUGGUGAAGUCUGAGCGUCUUAGAACACAGUGUCCUUGGGUCAGGACACUGAUCUGCAGCUUUCUUGCUUAGUAGGGCGGUGAGAGAAUUUUUCUUCUACCUAUAGCCUAACAUUUUUAGAUGAGGCUAGUGAAUGAAUGUUAGUGAUAUCCUAGUUGGCCUGGAUGUGUGUGUUCCUUUGUCAGCUGACCAGGAGUGUGUGCUCUAAAUAGGCUCUCACAGCCUUCUCUCUGGUUCUUGAAAGACAAGCUUAUCAGCUGAGAUGCUUAGUAAAAUUCCAUAUUUCCUGGUCCCUUCUCUGCAGAUCCAGAUUCAUGGAUAGGGGUGGGGCUGGGUAUCUGUGUAACUUGUACCCAGGAGACUCUGACCAGUCAAGGUUGGGAAGCACGAGUGUAAGGGAGGAAGAACCGACCAUGAGCCCCUGCAGACCCCUUGACACCAAGCCA